GUACAAACUAUAUUAAAGUGAAACCGCGAAAGGCUCAUUAAAUCAGUUAUGGUUCCUUAGAUCGUACCACAAUUACUUGGAUAACUGUGGUAAUUCUAGAGCUAAUACAUGCAAACAGAGCUCUGACCGGAGACGGAAGGAGUGCUUUUAUUAGAUCAAAACCAAUCGGCGGCGGUAGCAUUUCGGUGUUAUCGUUCGUCGCUCAAUAAAUGGUGAAUCUGAAUAACUUUAUGCUGAUCGCAUGGUCUUGUACCGGCGACGCAUCUUUCAAAUGUCUGCCUUAUCAACUGUCGAUGGUAGGAUCUGCGCCUACCAUGGUUGUAACGGGUAACGGGGAAUCAGGGUUCGAUUCCGGAGAGGGAGCCUGAGAAACGGCUACCACAUCCAAGGAAGGCAGCAGGCGCGCAAAUUACCCACUCCCGGCACGGGGAGGUAGUGACGAAAAAUAACGAUACGGGACUCAUCCGAGGCCCCGUAAUCGGAAUGAGUACACUUUAAAUCCUUUAACGAGGACCAAUUGGAGGGCAAGUCUGGUGCCAGCAGCCGCGGUAAUUCCAGCUCCAAUAGCGUAUAUUAAAGUUGUUGCGGUUAAAAAGCUCGUAGUUGAAUUUGUGUCUCGCACUGUCGGUUCACCGCCCGCGGUGCUAACUGGCAUGUUUGCGAGACGUCCUG
rnacentral:rRNA from 1 species